GCUGAUCGAGGUUGCCUGUGAAGAUCAGAAGCUCGCUUAUAAGAUGAAAGGCUACAUCUCAAACGCAAACUAUUCAGUCAAGAAAUGCAUUUUGAUCCUGUUCAUAAACCAUCGUCUGGUGGAGUCGAGCGCUUUGAAGAAAGCGAUUGAGACAGUUUAUGCUGCAUAUCUCCCCAAGAACACACACCCGUUCCUUUACUUGAGUUAUCACAGCUUGACCAUCGCUUGAAGUUUUAUGCAAAAGUUCUUGUUAAAAACUUGUUAAAACUGGACCAGGCACAUAAUGACGGGCGUGUUCCAGUAUCAUCCAGUGAUUGGGUGAGUUUAAUGAGAAAUCCUCUUAAGUAGUACAUUUUUUUCCUGCCACAGAAAAGACAGAUGUAAAUAUUUGGGAGAUCAAGGAGAAGAGACAGCAGGUUGAGCUCAGUUUUAAUUCAGUUUUCUGCAAUUCACAGAGAACUCAAAUGUGUGUAAGACAGUUUAUUUUACACUUACAACAUUAAAGUGAAGUGGCAGACUUGAAGUUUGAA